CAGUCGCCGCGGUAAUACGUAGGGUGCAAGCGUUAAUCGGAAUUACUGGGCGUAAAGCGUGCGCAGGCGGUUUUGUAAGUCUGUCGUGAAAUCCCCGGGCUCAACCUGGGAAUGGCGAUGGAGACUGCAAGGCUAGAAUCUGGCAGAGGGGGGUAGAAUUCCACGUGUAGCAGUGAAAUGCGUAGAUAUGUGGAGGAACACCGAUGGCGAAGGCAGCCCCCUGGGCUAAGAUUGACGCUCAUGCACGAAAGCGUGGGGAGCAAACAGGAUUAGAUACCCCCGUAGUCCCUGUCUCUUAUAC
rnacentral:rRNA from 1 species